AUGAGCACAACCCACAGCACAGCGAACACAGGAGCGCAGUCGUGUUACUCUCAGUUCUACAUGGAGAAAUCAUUCAUCUUACUGAUUGUCACCAUCACCACAGGACUGAGUGCUGGUGAUGAUAUCGCACCUGAAAAUGAUCGACAGUCCGGUAAAGAAGGAGAAUCAGUGACACUGAGCUGUAAAUACAGUGCUAACAGUGACUACAUACUUCUCUACUGGUACAGACAGAACCCGAACCAGGCUCCUCAGUACCUCCUCUACAAGGGGGCAGGAUCAUACAGUAGUGCUGAACACAGUACAAAUAAGAGAUUCAAAUGUACCACAUCCAGGGACUCAACCCAGCUCACCAUCGAAGCUCUUACCAUGUCAGACACAGCCGUCUACUACUGCGCUCUGAUGGUGGCACAGUGA